AGCCCUCCAGGACAGGCUGCAUCAGAAGAGGCCAUCAAGCAGAUCACUGUCCUUCUGCCAUGGCCCUGUGGAUGCGCCUCCUGCCCCUGCUGGCGCUGCUGGCCCUCUGGGGACCUGACCCAGCCGCAGCCUUUGUGAACCAACACCUGUGCGGCUCACACCUGGUGGAAGCUCUCUACCUAGUGUGCGGGGAACGAGGCUUCUUCUACACACCCAAGACCCGCCGGGAGGCAGAGGACCUGCAGGCCUCAGCUUUGUCCCUCUCCUCCUCCACGUCAACCUGGCCAGAGGGUCUGGACGCCACAGCCAGGGCACCCCCUGCUUUGGUGGUGACUGCUAAUAUUGGCCAGGCCGGCGGAUCAUCGUCCAGGCAGUUUCGGCAGAGAGCCUUGGGCACCAGUGACUCCCCGGUCCUCUUUAUCCACUGUCCAGGAGCUGCGGGGACUGCGCAGGGACUAGAGUACAGGGGCCGAAGAGUCACCACCGAGCUUGUGUGGGAGGAGGUGGAUUCCAGCCCCCAGCCCCAGGGCUCUGAAUCGCUGCCAGCUCAGCCCCCUGCCCAGCCUGCCCCACAGCCUGAGCCCCAGCAGGCCAGAGAGCCCAGUCCUGAGGUGAGCUGCUGUGGCCUGUGGCCCAGGCGACCCCAGCGCUCCCAGAACUGAGGCUGGCAGCCAGCCCCAGCCUCAGCCCCAACUGCGAGGCAGAGAGACACCAAUGGGAAUCCCAAUGGGGAAGUCGAUGCUGGUGCUUCUCACCUUCUUGGCCUUCGCCUCGUGCUGCAUUGCUGCUUACCGCCCCAGUGAGACCCUGUGCGGCGGGGAGCUGGUGGACACCCUCCAGUUCGUCUGUGGGGACCGCGGCUUCUACUUCAGCAGGCCCGCAAGCCGUGUGAGCCGUCGCAGCCGUGGCAUCGUUGAGGAGUGCUGUUUCCGCAGCUGUGACCUGGCCCUCCUGGAGACGUACUGUGCUACCCCCGCCAAGUCCGAGAGGGACGUGUCGACCCCUCCGACCGUGCUUCCGGACAACUUCCCCAGAUACCCCGUGGGCAAGUUCUUCCAAUAUGACACCUGGAAGCAGUCCACCCAGCGCCUGCGCAGGGGCCUGCCUGCCCUCCUGCGUGCCCGCCGGGGUCACGUGCUCGCCAAGGAGCUCGAGGCGUUCAGGGAGGCCAAACGUCACCGUCCCCUGAUUGCUCUACCCACCCAAGACCCCGCCCACGGGGGCGCCCCCCCAGAGAUGGCCAGCAAUCGGAAGUGAGCAAAACUGCCGCAAGUCUGCAGCCCGGCGCCACCAUCCUGCAGCCUCCUCCUGACCACGGACGUUUCCAUCAGGUUCCAUCCCGAAAAUCUCUCGGUUCCACGUCCCCCUGGGGCUUCUCCUGACCCAGUCCCCGUGCCCCGCCUCCCCGAAACAGGCUACUCUCCUCGGCCCCCUCCAUCGGGCUGAGGAAGCACAGCAGCAUCUUCAAACAUGUACAAAAUCGAUUGGCUUUAAACACCCUUCACAUACCCUCCCCCCAAAUUAUCCCCAAUUAUCCCCACACAUAAAAAAUCAAAACAUUAAACUAACCCCCUUCCCCCCCCCCCACAACAACCCUCUUAAAACUAAUUGGCUUUUUAGAAACACCCCACAAAAGCUCAGAAAUUGGCUUUAAAAAAAACAACCACCAAAAAAAAUCAAUUGGCUAAAAAAAAAAAGUAUUAAAAACGAAUUGGCUGAGAAACAAUUGGCAAAAUAAAGGAAUUUGGCACUCCCCACCCCCCUCUUUCUCUUCUCCCUUGGACUUUGAGUCAAAUUGGCCUGGACUUGAGUCCCUGAACCAGCAAAGAGAAAAGAAGGACCCCAGAAAUCACAGGUGGGCACGUCGCUGCUACCGCCAUCUCCCUUCUCACGGGAAUUUUCAGGGUAAACUGGCCAUCCGAAAAUAGCAACAACCCAGACUGGCUCCUCACUCCCUUUUCCAUCACUAAAAAUCACAGAGCAGUCAGAGGGACCCAGUAAGACCAAAGGAGGGGAGGACAGAGCAUGAAAACCAAAAUCCAUGCAAAUGAAAUGUAAUUGGCACGACCCUCACCCCCAAAUCUUACAUCUCAAUUCCCAUCCUAAAAAGCACUCAUACUUUAUGCAUCCCCGCAGCUACACACACACAACACACAGCACACGCAUGAACACAGCACACACACGAGCACAGCACACACACAAACGCACAGCACACACAGCACACAGAUGAGCACACAGCACACACACAAACGCACAGCACACACACGCACACACAUGCACACACAGCACACAAACGCACGGCACACACACGCACACACAUGCACACACAGCACACACACAAACGCACAGCACACACAAACGCACAGCACACACGCACACACAGCACACACACGAGCACACAGCACACAAACGCACAGCACACGCACACACAUGCACACACAGCACACACACUAGCACACAGCACACACACAAAGACACAGCACACACAUGCACACACAGCACACACACGCGAACACAGCACACACGAACACAGCACACACAGCACACACACAAACACAGCACACACAUGCACACAGCACACGCACACACAGCACACACAUGAACACAGCACACAGCACACACAUGCACACACAGCACACACGCAUGCACAGCACACAUGAACACAGCACACACACAAACACACAGCACACACAUGCACACACAGCACACACACUCAUGCGCAGCACAUACAUGAACACAGCUCACAGCACACAAACACGCAGCACACACGUUGCACACGCAAGCACCCACCUGCACACACACAUGCGCACACACACGCACACCCCCACAAAAUUGGAUGAAAACAAUAAGCAUAUCUAAGCAACUACGAUAUCUGUAUGGAUCAGGCCAAAGUCCCGCUAAGAUUCUCCAAUGUUUUCAUGGUCUGAGCCCCGCUCCUGUUCCCAUCUCCACUGCCCCUCGGCCCUGUCUGUGCCCUGCCUCUCAGAGGAGGGGGCUCAGAUGGUGCGGCCUGAGUGUGCGGCCGGCGGCAUUUGGGAUACACCCGUAGGGUGGGCGGGGUGUGUCCCAGGCCUAAUUCCAUCUUUCCACCAUGACAGAGAUGCCCUUGUGAGGCUGGCCUCCUUGGCGCCUGUCCCCACGGCCCCCGCAGCGUGAGCCACGAUGCUCCCCAUACCCCACCCAUUCCCGAUACACCUUACUUACUGUGUGUUGGCCCAGCCAGAGUGAGGAAGGAGUUUGGCCACAUUGGAGAUGGCGGUAGCUGAGCAGACAUGCCCCCACGAGUAGCCUGACUCCCUGGUGUGCUCCUGGAAGGAAGAUCUUGGGGACCCCCCCACCGGAGCACACCUAGGGAUCAUCUUUGCCCGUCUCCUGGGGACCCCCCAAGAAAUGUGGAGUCCUCGGGGGCCGUGCACUGAUGCGGGGAGUGUGGGAAGUCUGGCGGUUGGAGGGGUGGGUGGGGGGCAGUGGGGGCUGGGCGGGGGGAGUUCUGGGGUAGGAAGUGGUCCCGGGAGAUUUUGGAUGGAAAAGUCAGGAGGAUUGACAGCAGACUUGCAGAAUUACAUAGAGAAAUUAGGAACCCCCAAAUUUCAUGUCAAUUGAUCUAUUCCCCCUCUUUGUUUCUUGGGGCAUUUUUCCUUUUUUUUUUUUUUUUGUUUUUUUUUUACCCCUCCUUAGCUUUAUGCGCUCAGAAACCAAAUUAAACCCCCCCCCCAUGUAACAGGGGGGCAGUGACAAAAGCAAGAACGCACGAAGCCAGCCUGGAGACCACCACGUCCUGCCCCCCGCCAUUUAUCGCCCUGAUUGGAUUUUGUUUUUCAUCUGUCCCUGUUGCUUGGGUUGAGUUGAGGGUGGAGCCUCCUGGGGGGCACUGGCCACUGAGCCCCCUUGGAGAAGUCAGAGGGGAGUGGAGAAGGCCACUGUCCGGCCUGGCUUCUGGGGACAGUGGCUGGUCCCCAGAAGUCCUGAGGGCGGAGGGGGGGGUUGGGCAGGGUCUCCUCAGGUGUCAGGAGGGUGCUCGGAGGCCACAGGAGGGGGCUCCUGGCUGGCCUGAGGCUGGCCGGAGGGGAAGGGGCUAGCAGGUGUGUAAACAGAGGGUUCCAUCAGGCUGGGGCAGGGUGGCCGCCUUCCGCACACUUGAGGAACCCUCCCCUCUCCCUCGGUGACAUCUUGCCCGCCCCUCAGCACCCUGCCUUGUCUCCAGGAGGUCCGAAGCUCUGUGGGACCUCUUGGGGGCAAGGUGGGGUGAGGCCGGGGAGUAGGGAGGUCAGGCGGGUCUGAGCCCACAGAGCAGGAGAGCUGCCAGGUCUGCCCAUCGACCAGGUUGCUUGGGCCCCGGAGCCCACGGGUCUGGUGAUGCCAUAGCAGCCACCACCGCGGCGCCUAGGGCUGCGGCAGGGACUCGGCCUCUGGGAGGUUUACCUCGCCCCCACUUGUGCCCCCAGCUCAGCCCCCCUGCACGCAGCCCGACUAGCAGUCUAGAGGCCUGAGGCUUCUGGGUCCUGGUGACGGGGCUGGCAUGACCCCGGGGGUCGUCCAUGCCAGUCCGCCUCAGUCGCAGAGGGUCCCUCGGCAAGCGCCCUGUGAGUGGGCCAUUCGGAACAUUGGACAGAAGCCCAAAGAGCCAAAUUGUCACAAUUGUGGAACCCACAUUGGCCUGAGAUCCAAAACGCUUCGAGGCACCCCAAAUUACCUGCCCAUUCGUCAGGACACCCACCCACCCAGUGUUAUAUUCUGCCUCGCCGGAGUGGGUGUUCCCGGGGGCACUUGCCGACCAGCCCCUUGCGUCCCCAGGUUUGCAGCUCUCCCCUGGGCCACUAACCAUCCUGGCCCGGGCUGCCUGUCUGACCUCCGUGCCUAGUCGUGGCUCUCCAUCUUGUCUCCUCCCCGUGUCCCCAAUGUCUUCAGUGGGGGGCCCCCUCUUGGGUCCCCUCCUCUGCCAUCACCUGAAGACCCCCACGCCAAACACUGAAUGUCACCUGUGCCUGCCGCCUCGGUCCACCUUGCGGCCCGUGUUUGACUCAACUCAACUCCUUUAACGCUAAUAUUUCCGGCAAAAUCCCAUGCUUGGGUUUUGUCUUUAACCUUGUAACGCUUGCAAUCCCAAUAAAGCAUUAAAAGUCAUGA